rnacentral:sRNA from 1 species
GGCAAAGGCACAGCUGAUGAAACAAGCAAGAGCGGGAAGCAAUCAAUUGCCAUUGAUGACUGCACCUUCCACCAGUGUGUGCGACUCAGCAAGUUUGACUCUGAACGCAGCAUCAGCUUUAUCCCGCCAGAUGGAGAGUUUGAGCUUAUGAGGUAUCGCACAACCAAGGACAUCAUCCUUCCCUUCCGGGUGAUCCCGCUAGUGCGAGAAGUGGGACGCACCAAACUGGAGGUCAAGGUGGUCAUCAAGUCCAACUUUAAACCCUCACUGCUGGCUCAGAAGAUUGAGGUGAGGACAGGGGGCUCAGGGAGGAGGAAGAAC